AUUGAACGCUGGCGGCAGGCCUAACACAUGCAAGUCGAGCGGAUGAAGGGAGCUUGCUCCUGGAUUCAGCGGCGGACGGGUGAGUAAUGCCUAGGAAUCUGCCUGGUAGUGGGGGAUAACGUCCGGAAACGGGCGCUAAUACCGCAUACGUCCUGAGGGAGAAAGUGGGGGAUCUUCGGACUUCACGGUAUCAGAUGAGCCUAGGUCCUAUUAGCUAGUUGGUGGGGUAAUGGCCUACCAAGGCGACGACGGGUAACUGGUCUGAGAGGAUGAUCAGUCACACUGGGACUGAGAGGAGGCCCCGGUGCCGACUGGAGGCAGCAGUGGGGAAGAUUGCACAAGGGGUGCCAGGCGUAUGCAGCGAGGCCGCGGGGGGGAAAACAGCCUUCGGGUUGAAAAAUCGCUGCGAUAGGGUAGAAGCCUGUUGUGACGGUACCUAGAGAAGAAGCACCGGCUAACUACGUG
rnacentral:rRNA from 1 species